rnacentral:lncRNA from 1 species
AAACCGGUCCAAUCCAUUUAUAACCCAAUCUUCCAAAAUAAAAACACCCCGAAAAAUAAUACCCGAAUAAAAAUUACCUUUUACUAGCUAAAAUUUACCAUUUUUACCGUCGUCGUAUUUUCCUCAUACGAAUAAUCCUCCGCACAUAAUCGUCCCCGAAACCCCUCUAGGGACCAAUUAAACUAUUUACUUAAUGAUCGAGACAGUAAAAUUCUUAUUAUAAUCACGCUAGUAAAUAAGGUAAAAAUAUAAGGGUCGGGAUGUGACAAUUCUCCCCUCCUUAUAAAAAUUUCGUCCUCGAAAUUUACGUACCUGUCAUCCGAAGAGAUAGGGAUACUGCUGCAUCAUUUGCUCCUCUGAUUCCCAAGUAGCUUCUUCUACUUGAUGACUCCUCCAAAGCACCUUGACAAGCGGGAUUGUCUUGUUCCUAAGCACUUGCUCCUUUUGGUCGAGAAUCUGAACCGGUUCCUCUUCAUAGGACAAGUCUCUCGUCAAACUAAUCGGCUGCUCUUGCAGCACAUGAGAAGGAUCGGCAAUAUACUUGCGAAGCAUGGAUACAUGAAACACAUUAUGUAUCCUAGCUAACUCUGGAGGCAAGGCUAAUCGAUAAGCAAGUGAGCCAACUCGUUCUAUUAUCUCAUACGGGCCAAUAUACCUCGGGCUAAGCUUCCCACGCUUCCCGAAGCGCACAACCUGACACGUCCCACCCCGAAUUUCAUCCUGAAACCUAGAGUAAGUCGUGCGGGGACCACCUCCAAGGAAAAUUUACUGAAAAGAUUAAGAAAAUCUCCCUUGCAGAUGGACAACCCUAACUCGAAAAUUUCAAAUUACACUCUUAAUUUAUCACUUCUGAACAUCGCAUAAAAUACAAACAUUCUAAAGUAUUCAGAGCUACUAAACACAAGCGGAAGCAAGAAAACACAAGUAGGUUGAACAGGUAACCUACUGAUGAAAACUGGCCGAAAAGCGGGUGACUAUGCCUCGUCUCCUACUAGAUCCAACCCGAACUCUGCAGACUGGGCAAUUUAAACGAAGGGCCCAGGGGAAAACAUUUAAUAACGUUAGAGUGAGUGGACAAAAAUAAAUUAAUAAAUAAAAUAUUUAUGUUUCCCCCAAAUUAAUUUCUAAGGAAAAAUCGAAUGCAUGCUGCAAGCGAUAAAACCUUUAUCCCAUAAAAUAUCGAGCCUCUCAGAUU